AACGAACGCUGGCGGCAUGCCUAACACAUGCAAGUCGAACGAAGUCUUCGGACUUAGUGGCGCACGGGUGCGUAACGCGUGGGAAUCUGUCCUUGGGUGCGGAAUAACUUCUCGAAAGGGAUGCUAAUACCGCAUAAUGUCGUAAGACCAAAGAUUUAUCGCCCAAGGAUGAGCCCGCGUAAGAUUAGCUAGUUGGUGGGGUAAAAGCCUACCAAGGCGACGAUCUUUAGCUGGUCUGAGAGGAUGAUCAGCCACACUGGGACUGAGACACGGCCCAGACUCCUACGGGAGGCAGCAGUGGGAAUAUUGGACAAUGGGCGCAAGCCUGAUCCAGCAAUGCCGCGUGUGUGAAGAAGGCCUGAGGGUUGUAAAGCAC
rnacentral:rRNA from 1 species